AUGUCGGCUCAUCACAUCCUGGGGCUGAAGUAGGUCCCAAGGGUAUGGCUGUUCGCCAUUUAAAGUGGUACGCGAGCUGGGUUUAGAACGUCGUGAGACAGUUCGGUCCCUAUCUGCCGUGGGCGCUGGAGAAUUGAGGGGGGCUGCUCCUAGUACGAGAGGACCGGAGUGGACGCAUCACUGGUGUUCGGGUUGUCAUGCCAAUGGCACUGCCCGGUAGCUAAAUGCGGAAGAGAUAAGUGCUGAAAGCAUCUAAGCACGAAACUUGCCCCGAGAUGAGUUCUCCCUGACUCCUUGAGAGUCCUGAAGGAACGUUGAAGACGACGACGUUGAUAGGCCGGGUGUGUAAGCGCAGCGAUGCGUUGAGCUAACCGGUACUAAUGAACCGUGAGGCUUAACCUUACAACGCCGAAG
rnacentral:rRNA from 1 species